rnacentral:lncRNA from 1 species
GGUAGACAAAAUAUGGUCCAACACCCUAAACUCCUAUAGGCUCUUAAAACCCAUAUCUUUAUCUGUUUUUAUUCAAGAAAAAUCUAGUAAAGUUAAGAAACGGCGGUUUAUGAAUAUGGCUUCAUGCCUGCAGCUAUGGAAACGCAGCAAGCAACAACUCCUUCCUGAACAAUUCCAGCACGACUAAGGAGCAUCACAUUA